GAACUGAGACACGGUCCAUACUCCUACGGGAGGCAGCAGUAGGGAAUCUUCCACAAUGGGCGCAAGCCUGAUGGAGCAACACCGCGUGAGUGAAGAAGCGUUUCGGCUCGUAAAGCUCUGUUGUUAGAGAAGAACGUGCGUGAGAGUAACUGUUCACGCAGUGACGGUAUCUAACCAGAAAGUCACGGCUAACUACGUGCCAGCAGCCGCGGUAAUACGUAGGUGGCAAGCGUUAUCCGGAUUUAUUGGGCGUAAAGCGAGCGCAGGCGGUUUGAUAAGUCUGAUGUGAAAGCCUUUGGCUUAACCAAAGAAGUGCAUCGGAAACUGUCAGACUUGAGUGCAGAAGAGGACAGUGGGACUCCAUGUGUAGCGGUGAAAUGCGUAGA
rnacentral:rRNA from 1 species